GACGAACGCUGGCGGCGUGCUUAACACAUGCAAGUCGAACGGAAAGGCCCUGCUUUUGUGGGGUGCUCGAGUGGCGAACGGGUGAGUAACACGUGAGUAACCUGCCCUUGACUUUGGGAUAACUUCAGGAAACUGGGGCUAAUACCGGAUAGGAGCUCCUGCUGCAUGGUGGGGGUUGGAAAGUUUCGGCGGUUGGGGAUGGACUCGCGGCUUAUCAGCUUGUUGGUGGGGUAGUGGCUUACCAAGGCUUAGACGGGUAGCCGACCUGAGAGGGUGAACGGCGACAAGAGGACUGAGAUACGGCGCAGACUCGUACGGGAGGCAGCAGUGGGGAGUAUUGCACAGUGGGCGGAAGCCUGAGGCAGCAACGCCGCGUGCGGGAUGACGGCCUUCGGGUUGUAAACCGCUGUCGCCUGAGACGAAGCGUGAGUGACGGUAAUGGGUAAAGAAGCACCGGCUAACUACGUG
rnacentral:rRNA from 1 species